rnacentral:lncRNA from 10 species
CAAACCCAGAGUUACAGAGCUUUGAGAGAAAACCGUUUCUUCGCUCUUAACAAGACAAGCAAUGAUAACCACAUACCGCAAAGAUCAUGGUCCAUUUAUCAGAUAUCAGGCACCAUGUUAAGUGUUUUAAUGAUUUGUCACCACCUACCUUAUGGGUUUGUUGAAAGGUUAUUUCCCACUUGACAGAUAUGAACGCUAAAAUCAGAGAUGCUAAGUAACUUGCCCAAGAUUGCCCAGCUGUAAGUUAUAGAACUGGGUUAGAAUCUGACACCACAGCUCAGCAGUGGACAUGAUUACCAUGCCUCUAUCUGCUUCUCACACUAACGUGUCCAUAGACCUCAUGUAUGGGGGUCUUAUUAAAACAUGGAUUCUCAUUUAGGAGGCCUGGGGUCUGAGA